rnacentral:rRNA from 1 species
AUGAUGAACGCUAGCUACAGGCUUAACACAUGCAAGUCGAGGGGCAGCAUUUCAGUUUGCUUGCAAACUGGAGAUGGCGACCGGCGCACGGGUGAGUAACACGUAUCCAACCUGCCGAUAACUCGGGGAUAGCCUUUCGAAAGAAAGAUUAAUACCCGAUGGCAUAAUUAGACCGCAUGGUCUUAUUAUUAAAGAAUUUCGGUUAUCGAUGGGGAUGCGUUCCAUUAGGCAGUUGGUGAGGUAACGGCUCACCAAACCUUCGAUGGAUAGGGGUUCUGAGAGGAAGGUCCCCCACAUUGGAACUGAGACACGGUCCAAACUCCUACGGGAGGCAGCAGUGAGGAAUAUUGGUCAAUGGGCGCAGGCCUGAACCAGCCAAGUAGCGUGAAGGAUGACUGCCCUAUGGGUUGUAAACUUCUUUUAUAUGGGAAUAAAGUUUUCCACGUGUGGAAUUUUGUAUGUACCAUAUGAAUAAGGAUCGGCUAACUCCGUGCCAGCAGCCGCGGUAAUACGGAGGAUCCGAGCGUUAUCCGGAUUUAUUGGGUUUAAAGGGAGCGUAGGUGGACAGUUAAGUCAGUUGUGAAAGUUUGCGGCUCAACCGUAAAAUCGCAGUUGAUACUGGCUGUCUUGAGUACAGUAGAGGUGGGCGGAAUUCGUGGUGUAGCGGUGAAAUGCUUAGAUAUCACGAAGAACUCCGAUUGCGAAGGCAGCUCACUGGACUGCAACUGACACUGAUGCUCGAAAGUGUGGGUAUCAAACAGGAUUAGAUACCCUGGUAGUCCACACAGUAAACGAUGAAUACUCGCUGUUUGCGAUAUACAGUAAGCGGCCAAGCGAAAGCAUUAAGUAUUCCACCUGGGGAGUACGCCGGCAACGGUGAAACUCAAAGGAAUUGACGGGGGCCCGCACAAGCGGAGGAACAUGUGGUUUAAUUCGAUGAUACGCGAGGAACCUUACCCGGGCUUAAAUUGCAUUUGAAUAUAUUGGAAACAGUAUAGCCGUAAGGCAAAUGUGAAGGUGCUGCAUGGUUGUCGUCAGCUCGUGCCGUGAGGUGUCGGCUUAAGUGCCAUAACGAGCGCAACCCUUAUCUUUAGUUACUAACAGGUCAUGCUGAGGACUCUAGAGAGACUGCCGUCGUAAGAUGUGAGGAAGGUGGGGAUGACGUCAAAUCAGCACGGCCCUUACGUCCGGGGCUACACACGUGUUACAAUGGGGGGUACAGAAGGCAGCUACCUGGUGACAGGAUGCUAAUCCCAAAAGCCUCUCUCAGUUCGGAUCGAAGUCUGCAACCCGACUUCGUGAAGCUGGAUUCGCUAGUAAUCGCGCAUCAGCCAUGGCGCGGUGAAUACGUUCCCGGGCCUUGUACACACCGCCCGUCAAGCCAUGAAAGCCGGGGGUAAAAGAAGUACGUAACCGCAAGGAGCGUCCUAGGGU